rnacentral:lncRNA from 1 species
GAUAAUUCCAGCUUGUGUCCACACAAAACCAGCCAGUUCAGAGAUAUUAUGAACAAUUGGGUUUCUGAAAUUGAAGUUUAAAAUUUAGAUAUUAUCAGCGUAUAGAUGAUAUUUAAAGCCAUAACACUGGGUUAUAUCAGUGGAAUAAACUGAGACAGAAACAGUCAUUCCUGAAGUGUCUUGCCUUAAGCAUUCAAGAAAUUGAAGAAUCUAGGAUGGGAAAUGUAGCUCAGUUGGUAAAGUGUGUGCCUACUCUGCCUGAUGUUCUGAGUUCACCCUUCAGUAUUGCAUACACUAGGCAUUCACCUGUGUGGUAUUAUAUUACAAUGAUAUUAUAUAUUAUUAUUAUUCUAGGAUUAGAAGUUUAUGGUUGAGUAAUUUCCAGGCAAUACUGAGCUGUAUGAACUAUUGUCUCAAAAAUAAACAAAAAACAAACAAACAAAAAGAACAACAAACCAACCAAACAAAGACAACUUUUUUGAAAGAAGCAAGGUAGAUCUCUGAGUUCUAGACCAGCUGGGACUAUACAGUGAGACCCCAUCUGAGAGAAAGAGAGAAACAGAAAGACAGGGUGGUGGGGGUUGGGUGGGGGUGGAGACUGAAGAUUUCAAUAUAGUUAACUGCAAAACAUUUUAUGAAAUAGAAAAAAAGAGAACAUAAUAAUUCAUAAGCCGUGCUAAAUACAAAACAUAAGGAGAUUAGUUGUGCCUUGUUGCUAAGAGAGAUUUUGACUGCCACAUGUGUUAAUAUGGAGGCUGUUGAUGGCCUCUGUUGAACAACCUGUGAGUGAGAAUAGGCGAGAAAGCUUUGUAAGGAGAGGAAACACCAAGAUUUUGAUAAAACACUAACUUUUGAUAAACAGUAAAGGGGUGGUCUUUUGUUGUUUUUUUAUUAAGAGAUAAAUAUUUUGUGACUUGGUAGGAAUAAUCUAGUAGACAUGGAAAAACGAUAAUUUAACCCAGAGAAUAAAAUGAGAAACAUAUUUCAAGUAGACUUAAAAUGAGUUUAUAGAGAAGCAGAAGAGUUGGACUUGUGUAAGAGACAUGGGAGCACAGUUCGUUUACCUCAGUGAAAGGAAAACUAUAUAAAAAGAAAUUAAAUAAGACUAU